rnacentral:rRNA from 1 species
GUGUCAGCCGCCGCGGUAAUACGUAGGGUGCGAGCGUUGUCCGGAAUUAUUGGGCGUAAAGAGCUCGUAGGCGGUUUGUCGCGUCGUUCGUGAAAACUCCACGCUUAACGUGGAGCGUGCGGGCGAUACGGGCAGACUUGAGUUCGGUAGGGGAGACUGGAAUUCCUGGUGUAGCGGUGAAAUGCGCAGAUAUCAGGAGGAACACCGGUGGCGAAGGCGGGUCUCUGGGCCGAUACUGACGCUGAGGAGCGAAAGCGUGGGGAGCGAACAGGAUUAGAAACCCCCGUAGUCC